UCCUACGGAGGGCAGCAGUGGGGAAUAUUGCACAAUGGGGGAAACCCUGAUGCAGCGACGCCGCGUGAGUGAAGAAGUAUUUCGGUAUGUAAAGCUCUAUCAGCAGGAACGAGACAAGACGGUACCUGACUAAGAAGCCCCGGCUAACUACGUGCCAGCAGCCGCGGUAAUACGUAGGGGGCAAGCGUUAUCCGGAUUUACUGGGUGUAAAGGGAGCGUAGACGGCAGGGCAAGUCUGGAGUGAAAGGCAGGGGCCCAACCCCUGGACUGCUCUGGAAACUGUCCGGCUGGAGUGCAGGAGAGGG
rnacentral:rRNA from 1 species